UGAGGCUNGAAAGCGUGGGUAGCGAACAGGAUUAGAUACCCUGGUAGUCCACGCCGUAAACGAUGAGUGCUAGGUGUUAGNCCCUUUCCGGGGCUUAGUGCCGGAGCUAACGCAAUAAGCACUCCGCCUGGGGAGUACGACCGCAAGGUUGAAACUCAAAGGAAUUGACGGGGGCCCGCACAAGCGGUGGAGCAUGUGGUUUAAUUCGAAGCAACGCGAAGAACCUUACCAGGUCUUGACAUCCCGAUGCUAUUCUUAGAGAUAGGAUGUUACUUCGGUACAUCGGAGACAGGUGGUGCAUGGUUGUCGUCAGCUCGUGUCGUGAGAUGUUGGGUUAAGUCCCGCAACGAGCGCAACCCUUAUUGUUAGUUGCCAUCAUUAAGUUGGGCACUCUAGCGAGACUGCCGGUAAUAAACCGGAGGAAGGUGGGGAUGAUGUCAAAUCAUCAUGCCCCUUAUGACCUGGGCUACACACGUGCUACAAUGGUCGGUACAACGAGUUGCGAGCCGGUGACGGCAAGCUAAUCUCUGAAAGCCGAUCUCAGUUCGGAUUGGAGGCUGCAACUCGCCUCCAUGAAGUCGGAAUCGCUAGUAAUCGCGGAUCAGCACGCCGCGGUGAAUACGUUCCCGGGCCUUGUACACACCG
rnacentral:rRNA from 1 species